UACGUAGGGUGCGAGCGUUAAUCGGAAUUACUGGGCGUAAAGUGUGCGCAGGCCGCCGAGCAAGUCGAGUGUGAAAGCCCCGAGCUUAACUUGGGAACUGCGCUCGAAACUACUUGGCUAGAGUGUGGCAGAGGGAGGUGGAAUUCCACGUGUAGCGGUGAAAUGCGUAGAGAUGUGGAGGAACACCGAUGGCGAAGGCAGCCUCCUGGGCCAACACUGACGCUCAUGCACGAAAGCGUGGGGAGCAAACAGGAUUAGAUACCCUGGUAGUCCACGCCCUAAACGAUGAUGACUAGUUGUUGGAGGAGUUAAAUCCUUUAGUAACGCAGCUAACGCGUGAAGUCAUCCGCCUGGGGAGUACGGUCGCAAGAUUAAAACUCAAAG
rnacentral:rRNA from 1 species